rnacentral:misc_RNA from 1 species
AAAGUCGUAACAAGGUUUCCGUAGGUGAACCUGCGGAAGGAUCAUUGCAAAACGUGAGUGUGAGAUAUGUAGGAAUGUGUGUGAAAUGAGUUUGACAACAAUCAUAUUUAACAAUUUUAACAACUCUCCACAAUGGAUCUCUGGGCUCUU